AUACAUAGGGGGCGAGCGUUAUCCGGAUUUAUUGGGCGUAAAGGGUGCGUAGGCGGUAAAUUAAGUCUAAGGUUAAAGUGCAGGGCUCAACCCUGUGAUGCCUUAGAAACUGGUUUACUUAAGUUUGGUAGAGGUAAGUGGAACUCCAUGUGUAGCGGUAAAAUGCGUAAAUAUAUGGAAGAACACCAGUGGCGAAGGCGGCUUACUGGGCCACAACUGACGCUGAGGCACGAAAGCGUGGGGAGCAAACAGGAUUAGAUACCCUGGUAGUCCACGCUGUAAACGAUGAAUACUAAGUGUUGGAAAAAUCCAGUGCUGAAGUUAACGCAUUAAGUAUUCCGCCUGAGUAGUACGUACGCAAGUAUGAAACUCAAAGGAAUUGACGGGG
rnacentral:rRNA from 1 species